GCCCUAGUAACGGCGAGUGAAGCGGCAACAGCUCAAAUUUGAAAUCUGGCGUCUUUGGCGUCCGAGUUGUAAUUUGCAGAGGGCGCUUUGGCAUUGGCAGCGGUCCAAGUUCCUUGGAACAGGACGUCACAGAGGGUGAGAAUCCCGUACGUGGUCGCUAGCCUUUACCGUGUAAAGCCCCUUCGACGAGUCGAGUUGUUUGGGAAUGCAGCUCUAAAUGGGAGGUAAAUUUCUUCUAAAGCUAAAUACUGGCCAGAGACCGAUAGCGCACAAGUAGAGUGAUCGAAAGAUGAAAAGCACUUUGGAAAGAGAGUUAAAAAGCACGUGAAAUUGUUGAAAGGGAAGCGCUUGCAGCCAGACUUGCCUGUAGUUGCUCAUCCGGGUUUUUACCCGGUGCACUCUUCUAUAGGCAGGCCAGCAUCAGUUUGGGCGGUUGGAUAAAGGUCUCUGUCACGUACCUCCUCUCGGGGAGAACUUAUAGGGGAGACGUAAUGCAACCAGCCUGGACUGAGGUCCGCGCAUCUGCUAGGAUGCUGGCGUAAUGGCUGUAAGCGGCCCGUCUUGAAACACGGACCAAGGAGUCUAACAUCUAUGCGAGUGUUUGGGUGUCAAGCCCGAGCGCGUAAUGAAAGUGAACGGAGGUGGGAACCUUUCGGGGUGCACCAUCGACCGAUCCUGAUGUCUUCGGAUGGAUUUGAGUAAGAGCAUAGCUGUUGGGACCCGAAAGAUGGUGAACUAUGCUUGAAUAGGGUGAAGCCAGAGGAAACUCUGGUGGAGGCUCGCAGCGGUUCUGACGUGCAAAUCGAUCGUCAAAUU
rnacentral:rRNA from 1 species